GCCCCUGUAGCUCAGGGGAUAGAGCAACGGUUUCCUAAACCGUGUGUCGCAGGUUCGAAUCCUGCCAGGGGCAC
rnacentral:tRNA from 1 species